UACAGAGGGUGCGAGCGUUAAUCGGAAUUACUGGGCGUAAAGCGCGCGUAGGCGGCUUUGCAAGUCGGGUGUGAAAUCCCCCAGGCUUAACCUGGGGAACUGCAUUCGAGACUGCAUUGCUAGAGUAUGGGAGAGGGAAGUGGAAUUUCCGGUGUAGCGGUGAAAUGCGUAGAUAUCGGAAGGAACACCAGUGGCGAAAGCGGCUUCCUGGUCCAGCACCCGACGUUCAGGCACGAAAGCGUGGGGAGCAAACGGGG
rnacentral:rRNA from 1 species